AUAUGACACUUUCAUUGCUUGCCGCUAGUCGUUAAUGGUCGUAUUCCUCAUAUUCCAUUUUGGCAAAAUUGCUUGCAAAUUUGUCAUCUUUCAGUUCCUUGUGAUAGUUAUUCAGGGUGUGAUUUGUAUUUUAAAGUUAUUUGGUGGUUCUUUAUUGCAAAAUUUUAUUAGUAAUUCGGUUUUAAAUCGAUGCGCCCUUCUAAAAUUCGUUUAAAAGUCUGAAUAUAAAAGUGAUUGUCUAAAAAAAAGUGGAAGUUGAAGAGUGUGGCAACUGGAUUAUACCAGUAAUAUAUCCAGGAAAUUUCUGUUAUCCUCAGCUUUAAAAUGAAGAUUUACAAAAUGUUAAUUUUAUAUCAGUUAAUUAGAAGUCCCAAGACUGAAAAUAGAAACCAAUUUUCCAAUUGAUUUCCGAAGUUCUCGGUAUUUUUAUGACGUUGGAUAUUUUUUAUCAGAAGAGAUAUUUAAGUGCCAGUGACGCAUUCUUGUAUAUUAGCAAAUCUGACACGUAUUUCUAAGAGUUUCUCAGGUUAUUAAAAAUCAUUGGAGACCUUCUUUUGCCACAUAUUGUGCUCUUAUUCAAUUAUUAUGCAUACUAGUGAUUAUAAUCCAUAUAUCAAAGUGUUUUGUGUUAUAAAUUUGGACAACAUCAACGGAAUCUGUACAAAUAAGAUGCACAAUAUUGAAUCUGCCUUUGUUACCUCAAGCAUUGGUUAUCGAGCUAAGAAUGAUCCUGGUGACUGACAUAUGCUUUGGAAAAGCUUGUAUCAUGGAUAUAUGACGUUUACUUGAUAUCAUUUUACACCAGGCUGAUUAAAUUGAAUUUAUGAAGUGAUAAUGGAUAUCCAAAUGAUCAGAGAAGGCAUUGCAAGAGUUCUUCAGCAGAAAGAAGCUUGAGAUUUGGACAUUUUGUGAAAAAAUAUAUAUAGAAACAUUGAGUUAUCAGUGGUGGAGAGUGCAUCAGUGAAAAUACAUUGUCAGUGAGGACUGGAUUAAUUUUUCUGUUCUGCUUUUUUCUGAUUGUAGCAAACAUUCUUGAAUAAAGGUGUGUUUUUUGUUUA